rnacentral:rRNA from 1 species
AGGGGCGCUUGUCCGUUCCUUCAUAACCUUAAGUCGAGCGAUUGGAUUACGAGCUUGCUCUUAUGAAGUUAGCGGCGGACGGGUGAGUAACACGUGGGUAACCUGCCCAUAAGACUGGGAUAACUCCGGGAAACCGGGGCUAAUACCGGAUAACAUUUUGAACCGGAUGGUUCCAAAUUGAAAGGCGGCUUCGGCUGUCACUUAUGGAUGGACCCGCGUCGCAUUAACUAGUUGGUGAGGUAACGGCUCACCAAGGCAACGAUGCGUAGACCACCUGAGAGGGUGAUCGGCCACACUGGGACUGAGACACGGCCCAGACUCCUACGAGAGGCAGCAGUAGGGAAUCUUCCUCAAUGGACGAAAGUCUGACGGAGCAACGCCCCGUGAGUGAUGAAGGCUUUCGGGUCGUAAACUCUGUUGUGAGGCAAGAACAAGUGCUAGUUGAAUAAGCUGGCACCUUGACGGUACCUAACAGAAUGCCACGGCCACUACGAUGCAGCAGCCGCAGUAAUACGUAGGAGUCAUGCGUAUCAGCAUUUCGGGCGUAAUCGCGCGCAGGGGUUUACUUCCGUCUGAUGUCAAGGCCACUGCCUUAGCGAUGAGGUCUUGGUACCUGGGAGACUGAGUGAUACAGGUACGGAAUUCCUGUGUAAUCGUGGGAUGCCUAAAUUGGAGGAACCCUGGCAUGCAACUCUCUGUCUGACUGACUGGAGCCAAGCUGGAACAAAGAUCAAUCUUGGAUCACCGUUAAAGUAUGUAAUGUUAAGAUCCCCUUAAGUCCACUCACGAUACCCCUGGAUCCGCCAGUUGAACCAGAAUUCGGCCGCAUUGGACGGUUUAUUCAACCCGACUACGUUAUCUGGAACUAAAGC